rnacentral:lncRNA from 1 species
CCGGGAAGUUGUACCACCUUGAGGGUGGUGCUGCCUCGCUUGGGGCAGGCAGGGAAGUGGUCACUGGGGAGGGUCAGUCGGGCAGCAGGGGCGAGAUGCUUAGGGCUGGAGGGAGAUCAGGAACAGUGGCUCGGGGGAAACCCGCCCCCAGAGGUCAGGGGUUUGCAAACAGUAUUGCUCAGCGCUCUUUGGCAUUCCUAUGGCCUGGAAGAGGGGCAAGAUUCUGCGAACGUCAUUUGUGGAGCAGUUAUGGUGCCCGGAUGAGGGGGUGGGGGCGCACGUGACGGGGGAGUGGAGUUCUACAAUUGAGGACACGGCGCGCGAUAUCGGUGGUACAUCUCCUUUUGUGCAACACGAGGGCAUUACCGUGAAGGAAACAGACUUAAAACUCAAGGUCCUGCACUCGGCUGCUUCGUUGGGGAGAACACCCUUUUAUUCGAAAUUUCUUUCUCUCACUGCGAACGCAUAAUACAGCUAAAUUAGUUCCCCCUCUUGUUCUCACAAGGAGGCCAAAUCCACCCUGCCCUGGACUGACCAAGACAGUAAGUAGCAACCAGGAUGGAGCCCUUCCAGCAGCCAGCCCUGUCCCAGACCUCGGCAGAAGGCCUGCUUGGAGAGGAGUGACAUCCCAGACACCAUAACGCAGUACUUUGCUACACUGCCAACAAGCAGGAAGCCACCUGGGGACCCAGGAGCAGAGCAGUGAUCUUCUCCUGCGAGGUGGGCCAGGACACUCAGAAUGACUUGCUGGUUCCACAGGAGUCUUACGUAAAUUCCUGAAUGUUGAAGUUCUGAAGAUGUCAUCAUACUAUCCUAACCCAAGUGGGAGCCAACUCCACUUAGAAAGGGGAAGGAAGCUAGAGAGGGUGAUGGGUGAAGAGCACUUGACUUGGAAGCACAGACCUGCUCCAGCCCUGGCUCCACCAUUCACUGGCUGUGCGGCUCUGGCUCUUUCGGUUGGCAUGCUUCUUCAUCUGUUGACCAUGGACAUUGAUACUUAACACAAGGUGAAUGAAAUAGAGAAAAAAAUAAAAUAAAAGCUCAG